rnacentral:rRNA from 1 species
GACGAACGCUGGCGGCGUGCCUAAUACAUGCAAGUCGAACGCUGAAGAGAGGAGCUUGCUCUUCUUGGAUGAGUUGCGAACGGGUGAGUAACGCGUAGGUAACCUGCCUUGUAGCGGGGGAUAACUAUUGGAAACGAUAGCUAAUACCGCAUAACAAUGGAUGGCACAGGUCAUUUAUUUGAAAGGGGCAAUUGCUCCACUACAAGAUGGACCUGCGUUGUAUUAGCUAGUAGGUGAGGUAACGGCUCACCUAGGCGACGAUACAUAGCCGACCUGAGAGGGUGCUCGGCCACACUGGGACUGAGACACGGCCCAGACUCCUACGGGAGGCAGCAGUAGGGAAUCUUCGGCAAUGGGGGCAACCCUGACCGAGCAACGCCGCGUGAGUGAAGAAGGUUUUCGGGUCGUAAAGCUCUGUUGUAAGUCAAGAACGAGUGUGAGAGUGGAAAGUUCACACUGUGACGGUAGCUUACCAGAAAGGGACGGCUAACUACGUG